rnacentral:misc_RNA from 1 species
GAAGUGGCGCAGGCUCUGACGGAUUGUAAGCGCACGGUUUCAGGUACUAUUUCACUCCCCUCCCGGGGUACUUUUCACCUUUCCCUCACGGUACUAGUCCGCUAUCGGUCACCAGGGAGUAUUCAGGCUUAUCGGGUGGUCCCGACAGAUUCACAGCAGAUUUCACGGGCCCGCUGCUACUCGGGUGUCCGUCACGACAGUCACCAUGUUUUCGUCUACGGGACUCUCACCCUCUACGACAGGCCGUUCCAGACCACUUCGACUAACACGAUGAUUUCUCACUGUCGGCCAAUCCGGCAGAAUUGACAAGACGGAUCCCACAACCCCACGAAUGCAACGCCCG